CAGUCGCCACGGUAAUACGAAGGGGGCUAGCGUUGUUCGGAAUUACUGGGCGUAAAGGGCGCGUAGGCGGCCAUUCAAGUUAGAUGUGAAAGCCCUGGGCUCAACCUAGGAAUUGCAUUUGAUACUGUUUGGCUUGAGUUCGGGAGAGGUGAGUGGAAUUCCCAGUGUAGAGGUGAAAUUCGUAGAUAUUGGGAAGAACACCGGUGGCGAAGGCGGCAACCUGGUCCUUGACUGACGCUGAGGCGCGAAAGCGUGGGGAGCAAACAGGAUUAGAUACCCCGGUAGUCCCUGUCUCUUAUAC
rnacentral:rRNA from 1 species